UGUGGAACUUUAUUUUUAUAAUGCCUGCUCACGCAAGGCAGAUUGAUUUUUUUUUUAAAUCAAACAAAAUUACAGUGCAAUCAUUCUGGAGUACACAUCCAAAACCCAUCGAAUGAACAGUCACAUUUGCUACCAUAUAUAAACAAACCAUUAUAACAUAAAGCUCUACUUUACAGAGUAUGCAGAUAUUAGACAUCACACAUUAAGGAUUAUACAAUAAAACAACAACAAUUGAUUACAGUUUUAAUUUUGUGUAUGAGGCUGGUGAGAUUAUGUCAAUGGUGUUUGUGCAGACUAAUUUUUUUUUUUUUACUGCCGGCAGAGGCCCAGACUAUUGGGGCACAGUUGACUACCAACUUUUAGCUCCAACCAUUGGAAACUGCAGAGCUCAGAUCAACUGCUAGCACCAACCAUUGGAACACAUAGGGCUCUGGUGUGAAGUGAACCAAGGCUGUGUUUACACAGGUAGCCCAAUUCAGAAACGGUAUUUUCCCUAAUAAUUAUUUUGCCCAAUCCCAUCUAAUGUUUUUAUAGCUGAUGUGAUUGGUCAAAAGACCAAAUUGGUGGAAAAUAUUUAGUAAUUGGCAUGCCAGUGUAAUGGGAAUGUGGUGCCAUACUGGAAACACUCUUAUACAGCUGUACAGUCAACCUGAUUAUCUAAACGUGUCCUCUGAAUGUCAGCCAUAUUGCUUAGAUUGUGCAUGAAUUUUCAUAUAUUUCUUGGUGAGUAGAUGCAUGAAAACAGAAUAACAGCUAUGCAAGCUUCCUUAUUGCGAUGUUAAGAGAACCACAAUUGCUUAGGCUGAGUGUUUCUCGUCAGGAGAUAACAGGUAGCAGUUUCCGGGGAAGGCAUGCCAAUUGGUCGAAUCUCACAGAUUCAAGAACCAAUCACUGGUAAGCUCUAGUUUCAACAACUGGAUUAUUGCAAAAGAAAUACAGCAUACAACUCAAUUGAUUAUUUACUCAAUGGAUUAUUUACAAUGGUCAGGAGAGAGAUUAUUGUGAGAGGGGUGUCAAGAGAGGAGGCAGUGGUUCAUGAAAGAUUCUACUGGAGUCUGUGGAUAGGGAGCCAGACAUGAAAGUGGAUGAGAAAUGUUGAAAGAGACAAGGGUCUAACUAGCUGCUCCUUCAUAUUAAAUUAGAGUGGAGGUGUUCGAGUGGGUGGUUUCUCAGCAGAAUUCACACAGCUGAGGACCGCAGAGAUUUAGAGAGGUGAGAGAAACAGAGAAGUGUUUAAUCACUGAUUUGAGAAGGUGGAGAAGAGUAUCUGGGGACGGAGACUAUGGUCAUAUAAUUCAACACAAUGUUCUGCCAAAGGCAGUUUGCCUGGUUACCCAAACCCCUUUCUCUGGACUAACUAUAUGCCAUUUCAAUUGCCAUUAGUUUCUCACCUGCAAGUAAUCUGAACCGACUCACUUGUUGCCAAAAACAACAAAACCAUCUGAUUGAUCCUAGUAAUCUAUGGGUUUCCUCUGACUGGUCCCAGAAACCGAUGGAUUGGUUGAGAACCUACACUAGUAAAGCAUCAUGUUGACACACUGAUUGGUUAGAGAUGACUUCCUUGUUACAACAUCACUCAUUUUGUCACCAAAACUGGAAUUGAAGGUGUGAAAUGUGUAGCAAACAAUAGAGUCCUGGAUAUUUACAAUGUGACAAUAGGGAGAUGACACCCACUAUGGCAACCAGAAACACUUAAAUGCCCAGAACAGCUGAGAUCUUCCUCUCUCACACCUUCCUGCCUCUCCUGCACAUUGCACCGACAUGUUACACCACAUGUAUAUAUUCAUUAUAAGGGACCUAUAACGCCAAGGCAAGAGGCAGUCAGGGAGGAGGGCAGAAGAGCUGUAGUGCGGUUAAAGACAUUUGGCCAGUUAACCUGCCCCACCAACUCAACCAGUGUUCAGGGCACUAUGGUGACACUGUAACUACAGCCUGCGUCACUCUGGGUUUAACCUGGACAAACAUUAAGGAUAUUCUCGUCUACGACUGCACAAUGAGUCAGUUACAUCUGCAAUCCAAACAGCCUGUCCUGAUCAUUCACCGAGUUAUCACAAAAGGCUAUUGCACUUUUAUCUCUUCGGUCCAGGAUGAGAAAACCUACUCAGCCUGGUCUUCACUUCAAGCCCUGCCAACAUGUUCGUUGCAUCAUUAAUCAAACAAGUUGUCAGGAAGCUUCCCCUCUCUAUGCUGACAUGAACACUUUUCCCCAGUGGCCAACAUUACAAAGGUUAUCUAUCAGUAUUGCACCAACCCAAUGGACUUGAAUGAUUAGAAAUGGAGUGGAUUUAGUAUUAACCGCCCUUGGACGGUGGUAACGAAGUUGAUAUAAGAUUUUUUUUUUUUUUUUUUUAUAUUGAUGAAAAAUGGGCCCCUAAAUAGGGCAAUGGUAAAGUCAAUGCAGAUAGCAUAACCAGAGACCAGGGCUAGAAUGCUGCUCCUGGAUCAGGAAGAAUGCGUGGGAAGACAUAUCUCAACAUCAACUGUCGCAGGUCUGCUGUGAAGAAGCAGGGUCUUAAACAACAUAUUUGAAAUCACAAAAUUUGGGAGAAAAAACACUAUCGAAAACACUAAUAUAGCAUGAUUAUAUAAGUAUUCACCCCCUCCGGUAGCAGCAACUUUAUGAACGAUAAUAAUUGAUAUUAUUGGAUAAGUCCCUUAAUGCUUUUCAAUACUCAUUUAUAUAAAGAAAUACAGUAUUGACAAAUAUUUCAGAAUUAAUUUUCCAAUAAAAUCUUUUUGUGUAGUUUUGUCUAUUUUCCUAAACAUCGGUUAUGGCUAUAACCUUCAAUCCAAAAAGAACUGCCUUCAUUUGCUGCCAAAGGUGUUUCUACGAAGUACUGAACACAGGGUUUCAAUACUUAUGUACAUCAAAUAUCAGUUCUUCCAUUUUAAAUAAAUUGGCACAAUAUAUGCUUUGUCAUAUAAUGGGGUAACGUGUGUAGAUUGAAAGCAGCAAAAAAAGAAUUACAAAUUAACUUUGUAACACAACAAAAUACAUAAAGGUGAAGGGAAUUCUGUCUGUAGCCACUGUAAACUGGGUCAUGUCCCUCAUCAAAACAUAAUCCACCGUUAAUUAUUGAGCAUGCAGCAAUCUAUAGAAAACUCUAAAUAUUCACCAAAGACCCUCAAUAACACAUUCAGAGUAGCUAUUUUUCACAGUGAGACAAAAGACAAACUAUUACAUUUCACGAGCCUUACAUAGCUCACGUUUAAAACAAGUCAGUUCCAUAAAUGGCUUUGCUGAACAGAGCACCCGAAAUUAUCAUUGUUAUAGAAUUCUCACACACACACACACACACACACACACACACACACACACACACACACACACACACACACACACAC
ensembl:lncRNA